rnacentral:lncRNA from 1 species
UGUAGUUGGUAGUGUUUUUAGGUUUUUUUAUCACUGAUCAAAGAGAACACCUAAGUAUAAAGUACUUAUUGGUGCAUGUGUUCAUGAAAGACGGAGAGUAAUACAAAGGAUAGGUUGGGAAGCUAUAAGUGUAAGGCCUUGUUGUACAUAGAUUAGAAACUACAAUGGAGCCGAGUAUCGACAUCGGAGUAAUUCCUGCCUAUAUGACCUUGCUACAUACGGAGGAUCUCGCCUCUUUGUGCCUCACUCGGUGGAUCUCAUCUCCUUUAAUGGAAGAAUCCUUCAUGGUGAAGAUGCCCAUCACAUCAAGGUCUGGGAUAAUUAAUUAUGAGUUAUGACUUCGUGAAUUAUUGCCCUAUACUCAAGAAUACAUAAAUUACUCCAUUUCUUCUACGGAAUCAUCGUGCACUUAAUUUGCGGAGCUUGUGAUGUAUGGUCUAUAUGGAUAAUUAUAUAACUGGGACACUUUAAGCCUCCGAAGCUCAUCGCUGAUGGUUUGAUUGCUUUAUUACUUGUGACUGUGAGUCUCUUGUGAUUGGAAAACAAUUAGAAGAUUAUUCUAGACUCUUUAAGAUAAUGUGCCUCUCUUUUCUCAAUAGUUUUGUAUUACAUGUAAAUAGUUAUUGUAUCCAAUCAUCCUAUACUUAUAUUAUUGAACUGAAGAGUAACACAAAGAAAAAUAUAAUGGAAAAAACAUAGAAAUUUCUCAUCCUACACCCACAAAAUCCUUCAUUGAAACUUUUGUAUUCAAUCCUCCUAAAGUCAACUCCGCUUCAACUCCUACUUUAAUUUAACUAUUUCCUUGAUAAGGGUACUUUAGUGUCUUUAAUGCCUAUAAUGUACGAAUCACUAUUGAAUAGUUUCUAUCACAAAUACAAAUUUCAUAUAUAAGUUUGAAUUCGUGCUGUACUGCAAAUAUGGACAAUUAUACAUUUUCAAGCCUCAUUCCCAAUUUAUGCUAUUACAUAUAAAUUGUCAUUGGGAACUUUUAAGUGACUAUGUGCUUUAAAAAAUUAUUAGUGACUUCAUAACUUUAAUAGAUUUCUAUUGAAAUAUCUGAAUGUCGUUGUAAUUCCCAAACUUAUUUACUCGGGAAUAUUCUUCUAAACAACUAAAUUGCUUCUUAGCAUAUUGAAAUAUUACUCUCUCGAAGAUCUAGGAUCUUUCAAAAAUAAAUUAAUUAUUAAAUGUUCGUCA